GUCUUAAGCAUGCAAGUCGUACGGCAAGAAGGGGCUUCGCCCCUUCCUAGAGUGCGGACUGGUGAGUAACGCGUGGACGACGCGCCCACCCGACGGGGACAGCCGGUAGAAAUACCGGAUAAUACCGGAUGAUCUCUUUUGGAACAAAGGCGAAAGAGGAAAGCGGCUCCGGCCGCGCGGGUGGAGCGGUCCGCGUCCUAUCAGCUAGUCGGCGGGGUGAAGGCCCGCCGAGGCGACGACGGGUAUCCGGCCUGAGAGGGUGGACGGACACAUUGGGACUGAGAUACGGCCCAGACUCCUACGGGAGGCAGCAGCUAAGAAUAUUCCGCAAUGGGGGGAACCCCGACGGAGCGACGCCGCGUGGACGACGAAGGCCGGAAGGUUGUAAAGUCCUUUUUUCCGCGAGGAAUAAGGCCGGGAGGGAAUGCCCGGCCGGUGACGGUAGCGGAGGAAUAAGCACCGGCUA
rnacentral:rRNA from 1 species